AAUGGUACGAAACUUAAAAAGUUGAUGAAAACAAGCCAGCAGGAGAGCAGGAAGCUGCUCAAGGAGGUGAAUGGAGGCUGGAGAUCUGGAAGGAGGGGAGGGUGUCGUCCCCUUCCUGGGCAUGUUCCUCUAUCACCUGAAGCUGCUGAACAUUGGGAUGGAGGAUGAUCUGGAAGGAAAUCGGGUCAACUUCCAGAAAUGGUAUGAG